AGCAGGUGCGAAAGCAGGUCAUAGUGAUCCGGUGGUUCUGAAUGGAAGGGCCAUCGCUCAACGGAUAAAAGGUACUCCGGGGAUAACAGGCUGAUACCGCCCAAGAGUUCAUAUCGACGGCGGUGUUUGGCACCUCGAUGUCGGCUCAUCACAUCCUGGGGCUGAAGUAGGUCCCAAGGGUAUGGCUGUUCGCCAUUUAAAGUGGUACGCGAGCUGGGUUUAGAACGUCGUGAGACAGUUCGGUCCCUAUCUGCCGUGGGCGCUGGAGAACUGAGGGGGGCUGCUCCUAGUACGAGAGGACCGGAGUGGACGCAUCACUGGUGUUCGGGUUGUCAUGCCAAUGGCACUGCCCGGUAGCUAAAUGCGGAAGAGAUAAGUGCUGAAAGCAUCUAAGCACGAAACUUGCCCCGAGAUGAGUUCUCCCUGAGACUUUAGAUCUCCUGAAGGAACGUUGAAGACGACGACGUUGAUAGGCCGGGUGUGUAAGCGCAGCGAUGCGUUGAGCUAACCGGUACUAAUGAACCGUGAGGCUUAACCUU
rnacentral:rRNA from 2 species